AUGGAAGAAGAAAUCGCCGCGUUCAUCAUUGACAAUGGUUCUGGCAUGUGCAAAGCUGACUUUGCAGGGGACAACACUCCCCGAGCUGUGUUCCCCUCUAUUGUUGGGCGUCCCCGACACCAGAGCGUUAUGGUGGGCAUGGGUCAGAAGGACUCCUACGUGGGCGAUGAGGCCCAGAACAAGCGAGGCAUCCUGACUCUGAAGUAUCCCAUCGAGCAUGGCAUCGUCACCAACUGGGACAAUAUGGAGAAGAUCUGGCACUACACGUUCUACAACGAACUGCGUGUGGCCCCCGAGGAGCACCCGGUGCUAUUGACCGAGACCCCCCUGAACCCUAGGCCAACAGAGAGAAGAUGACUCAGAUCAUGUUUGAGACCUUCAACACCCCGGCAAUGUAUGUGGCCAUCCAGGCCGUGCUCUCCCUGUACGCGUCUGGGCGUACCACUGGUAUGGUCAUGGACUCUGGAGACGGGAUCACCCACACGGUGCCCAUCUACGAUGGCUACGCCCCCUCCCCAUGCCAUCCUGCAUCUGGACCUAGCUGGCCAGGACCUGACUGACUACCUCAUGAAGAUCCUCACGAAGCGCGGCUACAGCUUCAUCACCACAGCUGAGCGAGAGAUUUUGCAUGACAUCAAGGAGAAGCUGUGCUACGUUGUUCUGGACUUCGAGCAGGAGAUGGCCACUGCCGCAUCCUCUUCCUCCCUGGAGGAGAGCUACGAGCUGCCUGAUGGCCAGCUGAUCACCAGUGGCAACGAGCGUUUCCGGUGUUCAGAGGCGCUGUUCCAGCCCUCCUUCCAAGGCAUGGAAUCCUGUGGCAUCCACAAGACCACCUUCAACUCCAUCAUGAGGUGUGACGUAGAUAUCCGCAAGGACCUGUACGCUAACACAGUGCUGUCUGGUGGCUCCACCAUGUACCCGGACAUUGCUGACAGGAUGCAGAAGGAGAUCACUGCCCUGGUGCCCAGAACCAUGAAGAUCAAGAUCAUUGCUCCCCCUGAGCUCAAGUACUCCAUGAGGAUCGGUGUCUCCAUCCUGGCCUCCCUGUCCACCUUCCAGCAGAUGUGGAUCAGCAAGCAGGAGUACGAUGAGUCGGGCCCCUCCACUGUCCACCGCAAAUGCUUCCAAACAGACUGCAAGCAGAUGCGUAGCAUUUGCUGCAUGAGUUAAUUCAUAAGUAUAAAUUUGCCCUGGCAAAUGUAUACACCUCAUCCUAGACUCACGAAACUGGAAUAAGCCUUUGAAAAGAAAGUUGUCCUUGAAGCUUGUAUGAUAUCAGCAGCAGAUCGUAGAACUUGUUGCUGAUUUUUGACCUUGUAUUCAAGUUAACUGUUCCCUUGGUAUUUGUUUAAUACCCUGUACAUAUCUUUGGUUUAAACCCUUAGUACACAUGUGGCUCAGUCACUUCAUGGCUGAAGUGAGAACAUGCUUAUGGAAGAGAAGUCUGUGAUCUGUAAAUCUGCGUGACCAAGAGUUUUGAUCUGUGCAGGGUAUUAAUGUGUCAGAGCUGAGUAUUCCCGGAUUUCUCUAG